CCGAACACGGAAGUUAAGCCCUCCAGCGCCGAUGGUACUAGUUGGGUCACUUUCUGGGAGAGUAGGACACUGCCGGCU
rnacentral:rRNA from 1 species